rnacentral:rRNA from 1 species
AUUGAACGCUGGCGGCAUGCUUUACACAUGCAAGUCGAACGGCAGCACGAAGAAGCUUGCUUCUUUGGUGGCGAGUGGCGAACGGGUGAGUAACACAUCGGAAUGUACCGUUUAGUGGGGGACAACUUUCAGAAAUGGAAGCUAAUACCGCAUACGAACUAAGGUUGAAAGCAGGGGACUCUCGGGCCUUGCGCUAAACGAGCAGCCGAUGGAAGAUUAGGUAGUUGGUGGGGUAAAGGCUCACCAAGCCAGCGAUCUUUAGCGGGUCUGAGAGGACGAUCCGCCACACUGGAACUGAGACACGGUCCAGACUCCUACGGGAGGCAGCAGAGGGGAAUUUUGGACAAUGGGGGCAACCCUGAUCCAGCAAUGCCGCGUGAGUGAAGAAGGCCUUCGGGUUGUAAAGCUCUUUUGUUAGGGAAGAAGAGGACGCCGCUAAUAUCGGUGUCUGAUGACGGUACCUAAAGAAUAAGCACCGGCUAACUACGUGCCAGCCGCCGCAGUAA